rnacentral:rRNA from 1 species
GUUUAUGGUCAUACCACUCUGAGCAUGCUCAAUCUUAUCUGAUCUUGGAAGCUAAACAGGGAUAGGCCUGGUUCAUACUUGAGUGGGAGACCAUCUUGGAAUACUGGAUGUUAUAGGGU